AGCUACAGUCAUAUCACCCUGCAGCCCAAGACUGGUUACUCUAAGCAGGGCUGAGCCUGGUCAGUACCUGGAUGGGAGACCACAUGGGAAAACUUAGAGGGAAUGUAAGUA
rnacentral:rRNA from 1 species